ACCAGGUGUGGUGGCGCACACCUGUAAUCCCACCUACUCAGGAGGCUGAGCCAGGAGGAUGGCAAGUUCUAGGCCAGUCUCAGCAGUUUAUUGAGACUCUGUCUAUAAACAAAAGAUAAAGCCUGUAAUCCCAAAGACUCAGAAGACUGAGGAAGAAGGAUCACAGCUUUGGAGCCAACCUCAGCGACUCAGCAAGACCCUGUCUCUA
rnacentral:sRNA from 1 species